rnacentral:rRNA from 1 species
AGUGAACGCUGGCGGUAGGCCUAACACAUGCAAGUCGAACGGCAGCACAGUAAGAGCUUGCUCUUACGGGUGGCGAGUGGCGGACGGGUGAGGAAUACAUCGGAAUCUACUUUUUCGUGGGGGAUAACGUAGGGAAACUUACGCUAAUACCGCAUACGACCUACGGGUGAAAGCAGGGGAUCUUCGGACCUUGCGCGGUUGAAUGAGCCGAUGUCGGAUUAGCUAGUUGGCGGGGUAAAGGCCAACCAAGGCGACGAUCCGUAGCUGGUCUGAGAGGAUGAUCAGCCACACUGGAACUGAGACACGGUCCAGACGCCUACGAGAGGCAGCAGUGGGGAAUAUUGGACAAUGGGCGCAAGCCUGAUCCAGCCAUACCGCGUGGGUGAAGAAGGCCUUCGGGUUGUAAAGCCCUUUUGUUGGGAAAGAAAAGCAGCAGGUUAAUACCCCGCUGUUCUGACGGUACCCAAAGAAUAAGCACCGGCUAACUUCGUG